rnacentral:tRNA from 1 species
GGAUUGUGGCUCAGUGGGAGAGCGUUUGCCUGUGAAGUGUGAGGCACUGGGUUAGAUCCUCAGCACCA